AGCAGCAGCAGCAGAAGGAAACAUUAUUAAAGAUCUGGUGGAAGAAAAGUCAGGCAAACACCACUGGGAGAUCAGAACUUCUAGCUGGCUCUCUGCUGCCACAGCUCCACCAAAAGGGUGGGGAGGAAGAGGAACAUUGACCCAGAGCUCAGAGGAGAGGCAGGUGUGCUCAGGGCAGCCCCAGUUACUGGCCACAUGAGUGAAGCAUCUCACGGCUGGGAGGGGACAAGAGCCAGGUCCAAAUGGUCGGAGAAGUCAUGGAUGGAAGUGGGAACCCGAAGCCAGAGGAGAAGUCUUGCGCCUUCACUGGCCCAUGAGCCCCACCUGCUGCAGAAAGCACAGGGCUGGGUUAGUGAAGUGGGCAGAACCAGCCUUUGCUAGGUGGCAGGGUCUCUCCAACUAGUGGACUCUGAGUCCCCAGUGUGGUCUCUUGCACCUCCGGCUCAUUGCAAGGAAGCUUCCUGGGGGCCAGGGAUUUAGCUCAGUGGUUUCGCCACCUGCUGUGCAAGCACAAGGACCCGAGUUUGAUCCGUGGUACCAAAAAGAAGAAAAAAGAAAGAAAGCUUCCUGUCACCAGGCACUGGGUGGGACUGCCUCAAGCCAGGCUAACGGGGGGAGAAAGGGCCUGAAAUAAUACCAGAAUCCCUUAGCAUUGACUGGCCACUCAUGUGUACAACUCACUGAACCCUCUAAACAAUCCAGUAAGAAGUUGUUGACUGGAGGUCCUGGGUUGAAUCCCCAGUACCCCCCCCCGCAAAAGUUGUUGCCCAUUUCACAGAUGAGGAAACUGAGGCUUG
rnacentral:lncRNA from 1 species